CCUACGGGGGGCAGCAGUGAGGAAUAUUGGUCAAUGGACGAGAGUCUGAACCAGCCAAGUAGCGUGAAGGAUGACUGCCCUAUGGGUUGUAAACUUCUUUUAUAUGGGAAUAAAAUGUUCCACGUGUGGGAUUUUGUAUGUACCAUAUGAAUAAGGAUCGGCUAACUCCGUGCCAGCAGCCGCGGUAAUACGGAGGAUCCGAGCGUUAUCCGGAUUUAUUGGGUUUAAAGGGAGCGUAGGUGGAUUGUUAAGUCAGUUGUGAAAGUUUGCGGCUCAACCGUAAAAUUGCAGUUGAAACUGGCAGUCUUGAGUACAGUAGAGGUGGGCGGAAUGCGUGGUGUAGCGGUGAAAUGCUUAGAGAUCACGAAGAACUCCGAUUGCGAAGGCAGUUCACUGGACUGCAACUGACACUGAGGCUCGAAAGUGUGGGUAUCAAACAGGAUUAGAUACCCGAGUAGUC
rnacentral:rRNA from 1 species